ensembl:lncRNA
CCUGUGUUUGUUAGUGUGUCUGUGUCUUUCCCGAACUUGUGUGUAUACAGUAUGUGCGUGCCAGGUCUCUUUCUAAUUCACAGCCACUUUGUUCCGAGGCUUGCAGAGAGCUGGGGCGUCUACGCUUCUCUUUGAUGUUCCCCUGCUUGUGUUCUACCAUGUGGUUUUGGUUACAAUGUCCUGCUGAAAGACUCAUGACCUUGGAUGGAGACCCAGUAUUCUGACAGUGGGUUUGACAUUGUGCUUCAGAAUGUCUUGGAAUUCAACUGAUUUCAUGACGCCAGGCACUCAGUGGCAGACAUUCUCCCAGAUGGAUUGUGGCAUGUUCAGGUCUGCUUUGGCAAAUUGCAGCCUGGCUGGCUUGUGUCUGUCUCUCAGCAGUGGGGUCCCCCUGGGUCUCUUAC